rnacentral:rRNA from 1 species
CGUAGGUGAACCUGCGGAAGGAUCAUUACUGAUUUUUAAAGCGAGUCGAGCGUUAAGCGAGGCUUGCGAAAAUAUUUAAAACCCCACUCUUUUUAACUUUUAAAAAAUAAAUCAUGAUGCAUGAAUUUAAAAAAAAGGAUCACUUUCAACAACGGAUCUCUUGGCUCUCGCAUCGAUGAAGAACGCAGCGAAAUGCGAUAAGUAGUGUGAAUUGCAUAAUUUUGUGAAUCAUCGAAUCUUUGAACGCAAAUUGCACUCCCUGGUAUUCCGGGGAGUAUGCCUGUUUGAGGGUCGUUGGAAUAAAAAAUCGAGGCGUCGCUCUUUUUUUGAGGGUGAUCGCGUCGGAAUUGAGCCGUCUUUCAAAUGUUAAUUCAUGUCAAAGUGGCUUGAAAUUCAUCCAUCCGGUACGAUUAAAGCGUAUUUAAGAUCAAUCUUGAUUAAGAACGCGCGAUGACGUACCAUCUCAUGUAGUACGUUUGACUUGGCGUCGUCAGGAACAUUCGUAUACGAAACUCGAACUUUUGACCUCAAAUCAGGUAAGAAUACCCGCUGAACUUAAGCAUAUCAAUAAGCGGAGGA